rnacentral:lncRNA from 1 species
GGUCAAACGAAGCAAGAAUGACGGAAAAGCAUAAUUUGGAAGUAAGGUAAGUAUGGCUUACACUAGUCUUAUAUUUUAGAAUAUUCUCUUAUCGUAUUAGUUACGAAUAAGAUAAAUACAUAGUUGAGGUAUGAUGUUCCGGCGUGUAGACGUACGGAACAAGAUAGUCGAACGUACGGAACAAGAUAGUCGAGUAUGACAAGAAACCAUGUUGAUGGUUUAAAAGGAGUUAAAUCGGUAAUUCGAUCAUUUUAUGACAAAUGGAAAAUGAACUUUUAAAUGGUUACCUUAUAGGGUAAACCAAAACAAACAAUAAGGGUAAAACGGUAAAUUGGUCAUUCAUUGACCAUAACUAUUGGUUUUAAAAGACACUUAUGAAGUAAGCUUUAAUAGGCCGAAAGUGUUAAGAAAUGAAUUAUAAGUAAAAUGACCGCACGAUGUAAAUCGGAGCGAGUCAUAUAGUCGAGAUGAAAAUACAUGUCAUCUCGCUAAUAUAAUCGGUCAUCUAGACCAAACGGGUCAAAGGGUGAAGAUACCACCUUUUGAUAAUAGCGACUAAUGAUUCUUGUCGAGUUAUAUGAUUUCAGGAAUAAAUGUAGAAAUGAUAUUUGCAUCGCUAUUAUUUAGUGAUUAUUAUAGCAAGGCAUUAAAACAUGUCAAUACAUUGACCCGAGAAAGGUGAUUGCCAAGAGUGCCCGGAUGAAGAUCAAGCUCGAUGAGGAA